rnacentral:misc_RNA from 1 species
GAUGAAGAACGUAGCGAAAUGCGAUAAGUAAUGUGAAUUGCAGAUUUCAGUGAAUCAUCGAAUCUUUGAACGCACCUUGCGCCUUGUGGUAUUCCACAAGGCAUGCCCGUUUGAGUAUCAUUAAAUCAUCAACUCUAAAACCUUUGUGGUUUUUUUAGAGCUUGGUCUUGAGGGUUUUGCAGGCUUUUUUUUUCGAGUCUGCUCCCUUUAAAUGCAUUAGCGAGACUUCCCUAUGCUGAACCGCCUCUUUGACGUGAUAAUUAUCUGCGUCGAAUUUUGGUUCUCGUUGGGCUUGCUUCUAAUCGUCUGUUAAAGACAAAACGGAUUUGGGUGCAUAUAUGCGCCUUUUUCCAAAACCUUUUUUGAUCUCAAAUCGGGUAGGACUACCCGCUGAACUUAAGCAUAUCAAUAAGCGGAGGA